GAAGUCCAAUGUUGUUGCAUUUAAAAAGCAUUAGAAAAUGAUACACAGAUGUAGGGGUAGGGUGGGACAUAAGGAUUGUCUAAUAUUAUCCCAGCUUUGUAUUUGUAUGUAGUGUGUGUGUUUGUUCCCUUCCAGCUCUAGCCCACCUGCUGACCCAAGUAAUGUUUAUACAAUAAAGACUUUGUUACUUCUGUCUUUUUCAUGGAACAUUAUAAACAUUUGGCAUCUACGCUCAUACAAACACAUAAUACAUAUAUCUACACAUGUGCAUCCACAUACAUUCACAUGUGCACACACAUGUACAUGUAUACACACAUGAAUGUCUGUCUAAAUCUGUCUCUUUUGGUUGAUCAAUAGGUAAAGAUUCAUGUGUGUAUAUUCAGUAUAUAUGUGUAUAUGUAUAUAUGCAUGUCUGUCUAUUUUUUCUUUAUAUUACUCAAGCUUUGAGAGAGAAGGAGAGUCUUUAAGGAUCAUAAGCAGGAAUUUGAUAAGAUUAAUUUCCUAAAAUCUACAUCCGAUGUUUUUUCUAUGUCAACCAACGAUACCUAAGGGAAAAUAUACUCUUUAUUUGUUCUAUAAAUAUAUCUUAUGUUUGACACUCACAAGAAUUUAUAACAGAUUGAGUGUUUUCUCUUAAUUCCUUGAGAGAGAAGUUAGAAGAUACGAAGGACUUUAGUUAACCUGAGAUUGAAACAUUUUUGGUUGUUGGUGAUUGACGUUAGGGCAUUAGAGACGUGGAGAGCAUACAGAUGGCUUUGCCUCCUUGCAUCAGAAACUGAAUGCUGGAAGUUUUGGAAAGUAAAUAUAGGGUAGAAUGAUGGAAAGUCGGUGGUAUGUAUGUGAGUCUAAUAAGUUCUAGUUGUAGGAACCUCUGGGAGGGUCGAGGAGUUGGCUAUCAAUAUGACAUAUUAACACUGUAAGCUGUAGCCGUAGUUUAAUUAUUUUAAGGCAUUUUAUUUAUUCCAUAGCACCAGGUGGAGAUACAAGAUCAUUAAACAAUAUGAUAAAAUAAAGCAAAACUAAUACAGCAUUGUUUUACUCUGACGGCCAAAGAUAUAUGAUAAUGUCUCUAUGCUAUUUAAGAGUUUUUGACUAGAACCAAUAAAAUAUGUCUUUUGUCCUUCCUGACUAUAAAAAUUCUGAGUUUACAGGAAGAAGAGAUCCCAAACUAGUUGGAACUCCAGCUUUGAGACCAGUUUAAGCUUCCUUGAGUCACUUGAAUCUAGUCUGUUGCUAAAUAAACAUUUACUCCCUGUGAUCAGAAAUUUGGGAACUAGCUGCAUUUCUCAGUUUCUUAACACGGUUGUAAAAGCCCCAACAAACUACAGAUCUCAAAACUUCUCAAAUACAUUAAACAUGGAGAUACAAACUGAUGUGUUUUCAAAUUAUAAGGCCACUAAUUAAGUCUGUACAAGACGAAGGAAGAAAAAGUAGAGCUCUGGCUUUUUCUAGCACAUUCUAGCUUCUAAGGAUUUGCCAGUUCUCUAUGAGGAUUGGUUCAUUUACUUUUCUUAUCCUGUUGACCAUGUACAUCAUUAAAAUCAACGUCUUCUGGAUCACUGGGGUGGCAGUAUUAUCAGGGUGCAGCACCACGCGAUUCCACGGGCUGUUUUUGCAUGUGUGUUUCUGACUUGUGUGUGUGUGUGUGUGUGUGUGUGUGUGUGUGUGUGGGUUCCAUUCUAAUGAUCAGAAGUUAAUGAGACAAAGACAGAUACCUGCUUCACUGUUAAAGUAAAGGCUAAAUGAAGUCAGUCCAUUUGGUACUGAUGCUUUCUUAAAUCAAGUAGAAAACAAAUAGUGAGAGCAUCGAGCAUCACAAGGUAUACGGUAGGAUUGGGAACUCCAGAGACCUUGUCACCGAUGUCACUCCAGAGUCAUGUUGCCAGCAGCAGGUUUCAUUUAGGCAGUGCCACAGUAGGAGGUUAAAUUUAUGUUGAUGUGAGUUUCAUUCUUUUUGUAGCUUUAUUCCUUUUUCAUCUGUAAUUUUCUUUUGAUUUUAGAAAUCAAUCAAAUAUAAAAAUGAGUCAGUUAAUACCUCUAUAAUGUUUAUACAUAUUGAAGAAACACUAUAAUAAAAACAAAUUAGGUUAGCACUGGGGGCCUCUCAGGAAUUAUUUUCUUUUAUAAUACUCAGGUUUAAGCAAAACUAUUAUAUUCCACUCUGAUUCCCACAUAUCAUCAUUUGAAAGAUUGGAACCCCCUGCCUGGUGGCUCAGCCCUGGUUCUUAAAUAAGCAUUGCACAACAUCAGGGACAAAGGCGCCCUCUUGGCAAAAUUGGCUAUUCCUGUGCAUUCUGUACUUAGCACUGACUUGGUGGUUAUGCCCUACAUUCUCGUCAAAAUGUUCAGCUGCACUUGGUUGGGUGUGCUAGUGUUUUAAAAUUAGAAUGGCUUUCAAAGGAGUCCACUGCAGCCCUGACUUGAGCCUGGGGAAAGGAGACUUCUCGGCCAGCUGCCAGAGAGAGACUGUAGGAUCUCAGAGCCACAGGAAGUCACAAGAGGAAGGAGGGCACCAAAGACAAUCACUGAAAGGCGCAAAAAUCUUUGGAACACGUAAUUGGCAAAGCGCUAUUCUCCGCUCCUCAAUGGAACCCAAGCAAAGCCCCUGGUGAUGUUGUGCUGAGAAGCGGGGUCCAAUUCUGCCUCGUCCGAUUUAGCCCCAGCCCCACCCUGCCUGCAGAGCUCUGGGGCCGGCUGGAGAGACAUCUACCUCCAUCCCCCUCUGUCCCAUUCAGAAAUGAAACUGAUGGGAAGAUUUGAACAAUCCCAGGAUCCUGAAAGAAUCCAGUAAAGGGGAUUUUAUGGCAGACUCAUCUGAAAGGUGGUAAUGCCAAUACCUGCCUCCAAGGGUUGCUGUGGAGACUGAGAUAAGACAGAUAAAGUACUUGGCACCCAAUGGAUUAAAAAGCUAUGGAAAUCAAUCCUUGCCAGAGGGACGUGAAAGAUGGCUCCAUCUGAUAGGAAAUCCAUUUGUGGCUCUAUGCACACUCCGAGAUAGGCACAGCCCAACACAGUCUUCCCUUGGAGAACAGAGGGCUUGGGUUUGGAGGGCACUUCGAUCCCACCCCCACUGCACCCCCCAUUCUGGUCCUGCUUUUGGUCAAAUGGCUCCACUUCUCUGGCCAUUCAUUUGCAUCAAGCUCCUUACGAGGUUAUGAUGAAGAUCAGAGGAGAGGCAUCAAAAAAUGUUUUAGAAACUAGAAGUUGUAUAUCAAAGUAUAUAAUUGCAAUGAUAUAAUUUCUUGCUACUAAGCAAAGUCUGCAGACAGGUAGGUGGAGGUUAUGAGUGCCUUUUCUUUUUUCUUUUUCUUUUUUUUUUUAAUAUUUUUUAAAUGUUUAUCCAUUUUUGAGCAACAGAGAGAGACAGAGUGCGAGCAGGUGAGGGACAGAGAGAGAGAGGAAGACACAGGAUAUGAAGCAGGUUUCAGGCUCUGGGCUGUCAGCACAGAGACCGAUGCGGGGCUCUAACUCACUGACCACGAGAUCAUGACCUGAGUUGAAGUGGGACGCUUAACGCGCCACCCAGGUGCCCCAUGAGUGCAUUGUCAAUACUCUAAGAUCACACAUAUAUGCAAGGUCCUAGUAGAGACCACCAUUUCUUCUUUUUUUUAAAUUUAUUAUUAUUAUUUUAAUUUUUAUUACUUUUUAAGUUAAAUUUUAGUUAAUAUACAAUGCAAUAUUGGUUUCUGGAGUAGAAUCCAGAGAUUCAUCACUUACAUACAACACCCAAUGCUCAUCACGAGUGUCCUCCUUAACACCCAUCCCCCAUCUAGCCCAUCUCCCACCCAUCUCCCUCCAUCAACCCUCCGUUCUCUAUCUUUAAGAGUCUUUCAUGGUUUGCUUCCCUCUCUUCUCUUUUCCUCUCUCUUCCCAUAUGCUCCUCUAUUUUGUUUCUUAAAUUCCACAUAUGAGUGAAAUCGUAGGGUAUUUGUAGAGGUCACCUUUUCUAAUAGUGAAGCUGGUCUGGUGGCUGAUGGUGUUUUUAGCUGGAGGAAAGGCUGCCGAUUAGACUGCUUUGCUGUGCAGGUGGAGAACGGGUCUUGAGUGGUGGCUCUGAGCUGUGGCUUUUGCACAGCUGUGGGCGGUGAGGCUGAGACACUUCCUCGGGAGCUUACCAACCUUUUCCUUUCACUUUUCCUGCCCUCACUCCCCUUUUUAUUUUUAGGUUUUUUUUUUUUUUACUAAAGAAGUUAUACUUGCUCAUUGCAGAUGGUCUAGGAAGUUUAGAAAAUAUUCAAGACACAGAGAAAAAUGCAUAAUCCCAUCUCCUUGAGGCAACCCCUGUGGAGACUGUGAAUUGUUCCCUUUCUUUUAUUGUUGUUGUUACUGUUGUGUUAGCUGUACAUUUUUCAGACAUCAUUGAGAGCCUAUGGUUUAUGACAUUUUGGUAUCCUGCCCACCUCCAUUUCUGAUUGCAGCAUAGUAGAACCUUUAUGAUCCCUAGGGAUAGAUCUUGGGACCCUCUUGAAUCCCCAUAUUUGCUAACACUGGUAUAGAGUAUAAUUUCCUCAAUAAAAUUUCUCUCACCCAUUUCACCAGCAGUUGACUCUCUGUUCAGGAUAAGUUUCCACUACCUACCAUGAACUUGUACAUCUGUGACACUAACUGCAUUCUACUGUAGCCUGUUGACUGGGCUCCAUUACUGACUAUGGAACUGGAUCCCAGAACCCAAUCUUUGACUGCUUGAAACUCAAGUCCACUUGACCAGAAAGAACAAAUGACUCCAUGUCUUGGAUUUUCAGGGUCACUUGUGAAUAGUUUAAACCUCAAAUAUUCAACUGUGGCUACCAAGGGUGUCCUGAUCCCUGCACCGCUGGAGAAGGGCAAGUCAAGAUUCUGUUUCUCAUCCAUCUUUCUUGACCUUCUCCCAGGUGGAAUUUGGAGACUUGCAACCUUGGAGAAUCACCUCACUUAGCCUCAUUGCCAUCCAGGGAGGGCAGACCCACAGCAAAAGUCUUCUAUUUUCCAGAUGGUGAAAGGGAUUGAGGUGGGGAUAAAGCAAUGUGACCGUAAGCUGCCCCCUUCCAGAAUCUCUCAUGGGGCCCAGUAGAGGUUUCCUAUCAAAUGGCCACUGGAAAGAUGCAAAUGUCGACCUCUCCCCGCUGCACUUGAGCUUAUCCUGAGUGGAAUCAGAAUUCUCUCCUCUGCAUAACUCAAGCCUAUGACUUCAUUCCAGGGCCUCCUUUUGUGAACACACUAAAGCCAUUAUCCUAUCAGGCAAUCCUUGUUUUUCUACACUUGUGAUUUCAAGGGAGCUGAUAGCACCAUCCCCCCUGGAGCCAGCCUCAUUGUCCCAGGCCUUUUGGAACCCAUAUUGAGUAACUUCGAGGUGGCCCGUUAGAGGUGGCUUACACAUUGCAAGUGAGAGAAGGACAAGAAAGUGGCUUUAGGAGAAAAGAACAAAGCCAAACCCGUGAGUGGUGAAGCUGAUUUGGGCACAGGUUUCAGCCCUCUGCUACUCAUCCUUUGAUGGCAGCCUGCUAGUUUCAUCAAAGGGAGGGAGAUAGUGCCACACUUCAGAAGACAUCCUAGGGAUGCCCGGAUUUUGUAAAAUCUUUCUGCAACCAACUGUCAGUCACUCUUUUGCUCAGAUGUGUUUAAUGGCUCCUUAUGAUUUCCAGGAUAAAAUCAAAUCCCUGGGUAUCAAUACUUGGAGGGACCCCUCAAUGAUCUCCCUUAACUUGCCCUUCUAGGUUUUAUUCCUUUUUCUCCAUCCAUUUAGUAGAUUCAGUGUGGUCUCUUCAUUGUGUUCCACUGAUUAACCCCUCCUCUGCUGGCAAUGGCUCCCCACCUCCUUCCUUACUUUCUCUUCAGGUCACUUCCCACUACUCACCUAACACAUAACUAUUUGCUGACCUAAGGAAAAGUACCUUUCCUUAGGUCAAAGGUUAGGAAUAGGCAGGCCAUGGGGCACCUGGGUGGCUCAGUCAGUUGAGCAUCCGACUCUUGAUUUUGGCUCAGGUCAUGAUCUCAUGGUUUGUGGGUUCGAGCCACACGUUGGACUUUGAGCUGACAGCAUGGAGCCUGCUUCAGAUUCUGUCUCCCUCUCUCUCUCUCUCUCUG